UACGAAGGGGGCUAGCGUUGCUCGGAAUCACUGGGCGUAAAGCGCACGUAGGCGGAUUGCUAAGUCAGGGGUGAAAUCCUGGAGCUCAACUCCAGAACUGCCCUUGAUACUGGCGGUCUCGAGUCCGGGAGAGGUGAGUGGAACUGCGAGUGUAGAGGUGAAAUUCGUAGAUAUUCGCAAGAACACCAGUGGCGAAGGCGGCUCACUGGCCCGGUACUGACGCUGAGGUGCGAAAGCGUGGGGAGCGAUCCGG
rnacentral:rRNA from 1 species